rnacentral:tRNA from 1 species
GGCUGCGUAGCUCAGUUGGAUAGAGCGACGGUUUCCUAAACCGCAGGUCGCAGGUUCGAGUCCUGCCGUGGCCACCA